GAUUAUUUAUCGCUACUUCAUUUUAGUCAAUGUAUCCAACCAUGUUGAAAUUAAUAGUAGCUUGUGCCGUUAUUGCGUUCGUUGCUGCCCAAACAGACGUCCCCACUACUCAACACGCACACCACAACAGCCAUGCACCACAUUCACGUGCUACCCAUCAGACUGAUGUUCCUCAUUCAUCUAAAUCUCCUCAUGUAUCUAAAGCUCCACAUGGAGAGAAUUUCCACUUCUUUCACGAUGAAAUGCUUAGCAAAUUGGUCAUCCGGACAUCAACAGAAUGUUUUGUCUUCUCUCUGACAGAUGCCCAACAGAUGGCUGUCAAAACCCCCACUGGUCUUAGAGCUACAGAGGUUGCCUUGGUCGCUAUGAUUGGUACUGCCACUCAAACAGCCAUCCAACCAAGUGAUCUCAGUAAACAUGCUGCCAAACAUUGCCAAAAUCACCAAUCAUUUGCUCUUUCUCAAUAAUCAUAUACG